GGCCUGGGAUCGAACCGACAACCCUCUGAUUGGAGGACGACCGUGCUCCCCCACUCACCCACAACCGCCCACCGUGAGUGACAGAUAUCCAAAUGGUAAUUAAGCAGCCGUAUUGUGCACUGGGAAGCUGUGUCAAGUCUAAAUAAUUAUUGGACGAGACUUGUUAUUGUGUGUUACUGUGUUAUUGGAUACGCAAUUGUCAAAGGAUUCAGAUUGUGACAUAAAUAACUUACCUAGCUAAAUGAGAAAAAAAUAAAACAAUCAAAUUGCUAAAAUAUGCAAAUUAAAACAUGUGUUCUCAACGUCUAAUAGAGCGGUCUUCUAAUCAAAAUAUCCAAAUAAACUUUUUAUCACAACAAAAUGUUGUCAUUUUAUUUUGAGAGAAGUUGCUUUGACUGAACAAGCAACGGUGAGCAACAUCAGUUCACUUUCUUUGAUGUACCGUGGAUGUCAGCUUAAAAAGAUAUAUAUUAUUAUUAAUAAUUCAAGUAACACAUUUGAUUAAAAUGGGGCCACCAGACUAAGAAUGCACCUGUGUGUGUGUGUGUGUGUGUGUGUGUGUGUGUGUGUGUGUGUGUGUGUGUGUGUGUGUGUGUGUGUGUGUGUGUGUGCGUGUUUGAGGGUCUGGGGGCUUUGAUUAUUGUGUGAACCCUGUGUCAGCGGCGAUGAGUGAAUUGGUGCGAGCGCCCGCGGGGACUCCUCCACCGUACCCACCUCCUCCCACCUCCUCCCACCUCCCUUCUAAUUGGCCUCCAGAAGCUGCUAGGAGGCUGACCACUAAUCACAGCGAUGACCCCUCUCUCCCUGCGCCUCCCACACAGCUCCCCGCUACCUGUCCUCCUUCACCUGCAUCUACCCAUGCACUCAUGCCUCCAUCUCUCUACUCGUCUCCCUCCAGCGGAGAGGCUGGACCUACACGCCGCCUCCUUGUUGAUGUUCUUUCCUUUCCUUUCCUUUUCCUUCUUUAUUCUUAUUUCCUCUCAUCCACUUAUCUACUACCCCCCCUCUGAUUCCAUCCAGGUUUUUUUUGUUGCCUUUCUGCCUCCCAACGCCGACAACAGGGACUCCUUCUACCAGCGCUUUAUUUCCGCAGCGUGCGAUGAGGGUGUAUUUCAAAAAUGCUCUUUUGAGUUUUAACGAUGGAAGCAAACUCCAUUCACUCCAUGACAGAAUGACCUGCCGUCACCCUCCCAACGCUCUCCUCCAUCCUCCUACACCACUUCACUAACCCUCCCGUCUCCUGAUGGACUCAGGUUGGGCUGCUUUGGUCGUGCACUUUCACUUUAAUCUGGUUCCCCAAUUAAAAAAUGUCUUUUUUCCCACUUUUCUGCUGUUUACUUUGUUCAUUGAAUCCUCAUAUUCACAUCAUCCAACUGAAAAUCAAGUCAAACUUCAGUUGCUGUGUUUUGGUGCGAGGAUAUCCCGCCUAAAGACAAUUAGCUAUGAAUAGUCUUAGAAGAUAGUUUGAUAACAGCUUGUUUCAGUGAGGCUGGUUUAAAAUGAUUUGUAAUGUGUAAGGUGUUCAAUACGUACUUCAGAGAAUAUCUAUUCUCCAUACUGAGCAAAAGUGAGGACGCUGUGCAGUUGACACCGUGGCGAUGAACAGCGUGUGUGUAAAACUAUCACAUUGCAGCAGUGCAUCCGCUGGCCUUCCAUCGCUGAUCUCAAGAACUACCACCAGCUGCAAAUCCACAUGUAUCGCAAUUCAGAUUGAGGUUAGAUUAGUGCCAUUAGCCUGCCAAUAAACCCCGACUGGGCAACGAUACAAUCUUGCAUUAUCUCUAGGUGCAAGAGUCGCUGAGGUGGCAGCGCGAGAAGGAUCAAUGCUUAAAUCUGGGUGUGAUUUUGGGCAGCGGGUUUGAAAAGCCCAUCUGUCAGUGCCGUACAGCCGCGCCAGAGGCCUCGACACUGGCUCUGCUAAUGUUUUCACAGGAAUCCAGUUCCAUAAUGACUGACUAAGCUCCCGACACCAACAGACCGCAUGGGCACUACCAAGGGAAUAAACAAAAAGGAAGAAAUGUUUUGUUGGAUUAUGUUGGAUAAUCCAGCUUUUCCCUGGAUCAGCCCUUCAUUUAAGGAAUCAAAGGCCAUCGCACAUUUGGUCACCGAGGUCCACUGUAGAAACUUGGUGAUACCAGACCGACUCUGACACGUCCCACUGUUGGACAGACUUUCAUGGACAUCCGUGGGCUAAUUUCAGCAAAAGCUUCAACUUAAAUGAUUUUCUUUACAUUGCUUUUGUUAAUAAUAAGAUAUACCUGUGAAAAAGGGCGCAGCUGUCCCUCCUCACAGGACAGGAAGUGCCGCCUCGUUGCAUCUUACUCCUCACAUCACCCAUCAAUCAAGCUUUUCACUGAGCCCCUUUCCUUUGAUUUGCUGUUCUGGCAGGUUAAAUGAUUUCCAUACAAGAAGGAAAAAUAAUAGCGACUGGCACAAUGGAGGGCGCAGACUUAAUUCCAACACUUAUCAGACCUGGUGUGCUAAGAGUAGAUAACGAAAGACACUGCAGAACCCGGGUAUCGAUUGAACAGCUGCUGUCUUGGAUCAACCCGUGACAGAGGACAGCAGAGAUGUAUUUGUGUUCCCACACUGGAGAUUAUCACUUCAAAGAAAAACAUGUGCAUGUUGUUAAAUGAAGCACGCAUACAGGCCCCUCUGCACCCUUUAGUUGUACGAAGCAUUGCAGCGUCGCACACUGAGAUGUGGCAUACUGGCAUUAUUUUAAAAGUAAUCAUCUGAUGGAAAAGCCACACGUUUAUGACUGAAAAGCUCCCUGGAUGGCCACUCAAUUCUAUUUGUUUAGAAAGUCAUCUGAGGACAAACCGGCCGCCCACCGACGAAGCCUCGCUUCGGAGGGGGAAAUGUAGUGCGGGACUAACAAGGCAAACACUCCAGUUUCCAACCCCACAAUUCAGAAUGAAACCGGGAGACAAACCCCGCUACCCUGCAUCCCGACACACAGGGAAAGAUGUGUUCUAAACGGCAUUGCCUAGCAACAGCCUGCUAAGCUCUUGGCAGCUGCUCGGUCGGCUUGCAUACUGAUGAAUGGAGACACGCAGACAAACACGCACAAACAGACACACACAUACACACACGCAAGAGCAAACCUAAACUUAAUGUGGCGCAACUCAUCCAGGCAUCCAAAAAAGGUAAAGAGCAGCGCGCUUUACAUAACCGGGAAACAUUCAUUGUUGCUCUGCUGCACAUGGGUGGGCACAGAAUGAGGCGUUGUCUAAACCGUAACUUCAUCACAUUUUAUCUCAACGUGGACGUCACAAUAUCGCCCUGCUUUGGCUCUCCGCUGCCGUAUCGGACUGAGGAUUUAUUAUGUACUCCGUGUUCUGCUUAUUGAAGCAGGCCACCACUUAGAUCAGUGCAAACACUCAUGUAAUUCAAAGGAUGUUUCUUACAACUGUUUAUGACUAGUUUUAUAUGGUAAUGGUUUUUAUAAUUUAGCUUGAGACGUUGCAUUGAAAGAUGCUUUGUAUGCGACGUAUUUGGAUAUGAUUGAAUCAGAAUGCAUUUAGUCUCUAGCUUCCUUUAAGUGGGCUGAGAGGAAGACUCUGCGGGCUGAAUCACACUCCUGCAAGCAGCCGGACAAAAAAAACCCCACCAGCCUCAAGGUUUCCACCGUAGCCUCAAACGUGACAUGGAGGCGCGUCUACCCUACACAGAAACUACUUCAGUGAAGUCUCGGUAACACACAGUUGUGAUGUGGUCACAACGCGUCCCCAACAUUUUGACUGGGCACGAGACGGACGGAGGAGACGAGGACAGAGAGACCCCUGUGACAUCGGACGUUUCCAUGGGGAGCAACUGGUCCAGUCGCUGAUUCUGCAAUCACCAGCAGCGCGGGCCGUGGUCAGGGCCUCGUCGUGCGCCGCCAUGCAGCCGUCUCAGAAAUCACCGCAGUUCAGCCGUUUCCAUCUGUGACCCCAUUUUGUAUUCCUAGAAAAGGCUCCAUUUCAGAACCUACUGCUACAUGCAUGGCUGCAUGGUACACGAACACUCGCGCCGGCACACAUGGGGGCGGGCGGGCGGAGCGGCCAGGUGGAGUGUGACAUUUAGUCCAUUUUUGCUGCAAUAGAGGGCUCGCAGGAAGAUGGGGUGGACCAUUUCGACAUCAAACACUCAGUCGCUGAGUGGAGUGUGUGUGUGUGUUUUCCACCUCAGUAAAAAGAAUGGCUGGGCUGCCGGCGGCUCCGACAGAAAGCUGCAUUGCCAGAAAAAAAUAGUCCGGUAUUAGAAGCUACAUCUGCACAUUUGGGCAGGAACCGCCACUUUUCUCACCGUCAUCCCGGCGGAAGGCUGCAAGGAACCAGCGGGAGCAGAGUUCUCCAUCUACAUCCUUGCUCUACUAACCAAAUGAAACGAGGACGGGGAAGCAAGAAGUCGCUUUUCCUCGGGGGGAAAAAAGAAUGUGCUGCCAAGACCACAAUUUGUGCCAAUGUGGAAAUCAAGUGAUUUGUUUACCUAAUGACUAGCUGCGUUAGCUGCGUGCCGUAGCUCGUCCGCGCUACACUCCCGAACCCCAUAAUUCUGCUAUAGUGGCUCCAUUCUGACUAAAAUGACUACUAAUGGUGGGAAAACGAGAUGAUCACAUGUGUUUCAUAGUACAAACAGAGGCCGAGCUGCUGCUCGUCGGUGUGUGACUGCCUUGUAAACAUUACAGUCUCCUCUGGCGUAAAAACCUUGACUUUAUUUACUCUCAAUUGAAAAUAUAAACACAGGAUAAUUGAGACACAUUGCCAAGCGUCUUCUGAACUUUGGACCAGGAUCAUCUCUGUUGGGUGUAUUUGAGAUGCAUUUGCAGAAAUAUGCUUUAGUUUUAUGGUUAUUCUCAAUAAACUACAUCACAAUUUG